ensembl:rRNA 5S_rRNA 5S ribosomal RNA
GGCCACAGCCACAUCACCUUGCAGCCCAAGAGCACUUACUCACUGAAGCUAAGCAGGGCUGAGCCUAGUUAGUACCUGGAUGGUAGACCACAUGGGGAAACUAGGCUGCUGUUGGAA